UUAUUUCUAGUGCUUAUUUA
rnacentral:siRNA from 1 species